AGCCACCGUAAGCAAGUGUUUAUCUCCAAACCGACGGAGCAGAUCUGCGCGCUCACGGUGCGGAGAACCAGAAGGCCCGAAAGCGGCGUAGGCUCAGACGGUCCCAUUAUCAAUUCCCACCCGCCGCCGUCUCGCGUCCUUCGCCCCGCCUUCCCUUUUCACUUCUUUCCCUCCAAAGGCGCAGAGACGGAGAGGGUGGGCGAGCUGUGGAAGGAAGGAAGAUUCUUUCUGAAGUAAAAGACUUGUGACCUCUCUAAAUUUAAAGAUGGACCCAGCAGACACUCUAAGGCUCAUUGAAGCCAUCGAGAAAUUGAACCCAGAAGUUAUCAAGAAAUCAAACCAGAUAGAGAUGGACCCAAUAGUCACUCUGAGGCUCAUUGAAGCCAUCGAGAAAUUGAAGGAGCUUAAUAUGGAGUCGCCUUUCGAUGCGUUAUCUGAGUGUAAAAAGUCAUUCAUUGAGGUUUCUAAAGCUAUCACAUUGUUCGCUGGCGCUGGUCUCAAUGCAUUGAAUGUCUUUGUUGUUGCUGUGGUUUACAUGUCAAAACACAUGAUGCUUGGUAACGAAGGUGGUACUAAUACUGCUCCAGCAGGCGUCCUUCCGACCGAAAGUGCUCCUGCCCCUUUCAGUAUUACUCAAUCAAUUCUUAUUCUUGGAACGAUGUUUUACUUCCUUUUUACAAGCUAUGCUGUGGCCGUGGCCCAUGCCGCCGUUCAUCGCAGAGAGUGGUUCUCAAAGCUUGUAGUGAUAAUGAUCUUGGAAAUCUUUCUUGUGAAUGCAACACCGAUGCUCUAUGCUUACCUAAUUUCCGAGGGUGACUUUUGAUCUUCAAUUGUCGCUUUAUUUUGCAUGAUUGGGGCGAUUCAUCGUGGCUUUUUGGAAUGAAAAUGUUGCUUGAAGAUGAAGUUUUGAGGCCAGGAGUGUUUGAACGAGCAGUGCUAUGCAAUCUGAAGUCAAGUCUUAUUUGAAACUCUUUAUGAUGGUAUUGUACUUAGGCAAUUUCCUAUCUUGGUUUAUGUGAACCUUGCUUUUGUGGAGGCAAUCUAGAUGAUCGCCUGUUCAUUAUUGGAUAACCUGGUGUGAAGUUUCGAUGGAGAGCAAACCUGGCUUGUUUAUUGCAUCUAUCUAUUUGGUAUAUCACUAAGCUCCCUAGGGGCGAUGGUCUCUCAUUCAAUUGAGGACAUUAGUUUUGGAUUGGUUUACAUUUUGACUUGGUCGACAGAUCUCUCAUUCAAGUGAGGUGUUCAAUGUUAAAUUUGAUUUGCAAUUU